AUUGAACGCUGGCGGAAUGCUUUACACAUGCAAGUCGAACGGCAGCACGGACUUCGGUCUGGUGGCGAGUGGCGAACGGGUGAGUAAUGUAUCGGAACGUGCCCAGUCGUGGGGGAUAACGUAGUGAAAAUUACGCUAAUACCGCAUACGAUCUAUGGAUGAAAGCGGGGGAUCGCAAGACCUCGCGCGAUUGGAGCGGCCGAUAUCAGAUUAGGUAGUUGGGGGGGUAAAGGCCCACCAAGCCAACGAUCUGUAGCUGGUCUGAGAGGACGACCAACCACACUGGAACUGAGAAACGGUCCAGACUCCUACGGGAGGCAGCAGUGGGGAAUUUUGGACAAUGGGCGAAAGCCUGAUCCAGCCAUUCCGCGUGCAGGAUGAAGGCCCUCGGGUUGUAAACUGCUUUUGUACAGAACGAAAAGGUUUCUACUAAUACUAGGAGCUCAUGACGGUACUGUAAGAAUAAGCACCGGCUAACUACGUGCCAGCAGCCGCCGUAA
rnacentral:rRNA from 1 species